rnacentral:rRNA from 1 species
UACGGAGGGUGCAAGCGUUAUCCGGAUUCACUGGGUUUAAAGGGUGCGUAGGCGGGCAGGUAAGUCAGUGGUGAAAUCUCCGGGCUUAACCCGGAAACUGCCGUUGAUACUAUCUGUCUUGAAUAUAGUGGAGGUGAGCGGAAUAUGUCAUGUAGCGGUGAAAUGCUUAGAUAUGACAUAGAACACCCAUUGCGAAGGCAGCUCGCUACACUAUCAUUGACGCUGAGGCACGAAAGCGUGGGGAUCAAGCAGG